GGAUUAGAUACCCUGGUAGUCCACGCCGUAAACGAUGUCUACUAGCCGUUGGGAGACUUGAUCUUUUAGUGGCGCAGCUAACGCGAUAAGUAGACCGCCUGGGGAGUACGGCCGCAAGGUUAAAACUCAAAUGAAUUGACGGGGGCCCGCACAAGCGGUGGAGCAUGUGGUUUAAUUCGAAGCAACGCGAAGAACCUUACCAACUCUUGACAUCCUGCGAACUUGCUAGAGAUAGCUUGGUGCCUUCGGGAACGCAGAGACAGGUGCUGCAUGGCUGUCGUCAGCUCGUGUUG
rnacentral:rRNA from 1 species